CUGCCACCGCCCCAGGGACUGGCGUGCAAGCCCGGGCCGUGCUCCCGGCGUCACCCUGCGGCCGCGGACAACUGAAUAAACACGGGACGCGCUGCGAUCUGUCAAGGCCCUGGCCGCAG
rfam:Tupaia chinensis contig6385, whole genome shotgun sequence.